rnacentral:lncRNA from 1 species
GUGCCAUAUGUCCCACUGGAGAAGCACAUGGACCACUACUCCCGAACCAAAGCCAUCGCCGACCAGUUGACCCUCAUGGCCAAUGGGACACCUCUCCCAGGAGGAGGCAUUCUGCGGACCUGUGUGCUCAGGCCCCCAGGCAUCUAUGGCCCCGAAGAACAGAGGCACCUGCCCCGCGUGGCGGUAUGUUGACCCAGUCCCAGGCCAGAGGCACGGGAGGAGCCUGGCUGAUAUGUGUGUGAAUGGGGACAUGUCAGUCGUGGGGCAGUGU